GCGCCCGUAGCUCAGCGGCGGAGCGCCGGCCUUAUAAGGCUAGCGCUCUCACAUUUUUGUUUACUAAGCCUAAGAAAGCCGGCGGUCCCGGGUUCAAAUCCCGGCGGGCGCA
rnacentral:tRNA from 1 species